rnacentral:rRNA from 1 species
AUAUUGGUCAAUGGGGGCAACCCUGAACCAGCCAUGCCGCGUGCAGGAAGACGGCCCUACGGGUUGUAAACUGCUUUUGUACCGGAAUAACCCCCCCGAGGUCUCGGGGGCUGAAUGUACGGUAAGAAUAAGGAUCGGCUAACUCCGUGCCAGCAGCCGCGGUAAUACGGAGGAUCCAAGCGUUAUCCGGAUUUAUUGGGUUUAAAGGGUGCGCAGGCGGCUUUUUAAGUCAGGGGUGAAAGACGGUGGCUCAACCAUCGCAGUGCCUUUGAUACUGAAGAGCUUGAUUACACAUGAGGCAGGCGGAAUGUGACAAGUAGCGGUGAAAUGCAUAGAUAUGUCACAGAACCCCGAUUGCGAAGGCAGCUUACUAAAGUGUAAAUGACGCUGAGGCACGAAAGCGUGGGGAUCAAA